ACCUGGCUGGCUCAGUCAGUGGAGCAAGUAACUCCUAAUCUCUGUGUUGUGGGUUCGAGCCCCACGUUGGGUG
rnacentral:tRNA from 1 species